UAGGGAAUCUUCCACAAUGGACGAAAGUCUGAUGGAGCAACGCCGCGUGAGUGAAGAAGGGUUUCGGCUCGUAAAGCUCUGUUGUUAAAGAAGAACGUGGGUAAGAGUAACUGUUUACCCAGUGACGGUAUUUAACCAGAAAGCCACGGCUAACUACGUACCAG
rnacentral:rRNA from 1 species